AUACGUAGGGGGCGAGCGUUGUCCGGAAUGAUUGGGCGUAAAGGGCGCGUAGGCGGCCCGGUAAGUCUGGAGUGAAAGUCCUGUUUUUAAGAUGGGAAUUGCUUUGGAUACUGUCGGGCUUGAGUGCAGGAGAGGUAAGUGGAAUUCCCAGUGUAGCGGUGAAAUGUGUAGAGAUUGGGAGGAACACCAGUGGCGAAGGCGACUUACUGGACUGUAACUGACGCUGAGGCGCGAAAGUGUGGGGAGCAAACAGGAUUAGAUACCCUGGUAGUCCACACUGUAAACGAUGAAUGCUAGGUGUAGGGGGUAUCGACCCCUUCUGUGCCGCAGUCAACACAAUAAGCAUUCCGCCUGGGGAGUACGGCCGCAAGGUUGAAACUCAAAGGAAUUGACGGGG
rnacentral:rRNA from 1 species